AUUGAACGCUGGCGGCAUGCCUUACACAUGCAAGUCGAACGGCAGCACGGGUGCUUGCACCUGGUGGCGAGUGGCGAACGGGUGAGUAAUACAUCGGAACAUGUCCUGUAGUGGGGGAUAGCCCGGCGAAAGCCGGAUUAAUACCGCAUACGAUCUACGGAUGAAAGCGGGGGACCUUCGGGCCUCGCGCUAUAGGGUUGGCCGAUAGCUGAUUAGCUAGUUGGUGGGGUAAAGGCCUACCAAGGCGACGAUCAGUAGCUGGUCUGAGAGGACGACCAGCCACACUGGGACUGAGACACGGCCCAGACUCCUACGGGAGGCAGCAGUGGGGAAUUUUGGACAAUGGGCGAAAGCCUGAUCCAGCAAUGCCGCGUGUGUGAAGAAGGCCUUCGGGUUGUAAAGCACUUUUGUCCGGAAAGAAAUCCUUGGCUCUAAUACAGUCGGGGGAUGAUGGUACCGGAAGAAUAAGCACCGGCUAACUACAUG
rnacentral:rRNA from 1 species